GGAUGUGAAGGCAAUCUGGCUGUGACAUUUGCCGCCCCUCAGCAGGGUUGGUGUGGCUGACCUGGUGGGAGGUAGGUGUCCUCUUCUCACUGUUGCAUGUGUGUCGCCCCAAAGCUGCACCCUGAGUGCUCAUGAUGGAAGAGGUCAGACAACCUUCUCUGAGUAAAGGAGGACCUGUCUUCAGUCAAGGGCAUGUGAGGAGCUACGCUCCCCUGCUACAACCUCCAAACAAACUCAGAGAAGAAAAACAGCCAGGCAGUGGUGGCUCAGACCUUUAAUCCCACCCAGCACUUGAGAGGUAGAGGCAGGUGGAUCUCUAUGAGUUC
rnacentral:snRNA from 1 species